AGCCAAGUAGCCUUACAAGUUGCCACCAUUAUGAAUUAGUAACAUUUUUUUCUUCCUCUUCCAAGUAGUGACAGCUUCUGUGUCUGAAACACUGUCUUAUCAGUGAUAUCUUGGAUAUAAAUAUCCCUUCUCUGUUCUCCCUGUCUCUGGAUUGGGAGCAGGUUUCCUGCCCACUUUGUAUUCUGUGUUAAGGCCUUUUAUUUUGAGAAUAGUUUAUAUUUGUGCUACAAAGAGAAUUAGCGAACAAAUGGCUUUAGUCAUUCAUUCACUCAUAAACCUAUUCAUAAUGUUUCAUUUACUCAUUAAAUUUUUAAAAUAAAUUUAGUACCUGGUCCAUAUUUGGAAUUCAGUUAACUUUUGUGGAAUAAGUGAAUGAAUGGGUGGGGUCCUAGUUGACCAACCUUUGUCUUAGUAGAUUAAGAUUCAUCUACUUAACAGGCAGGAACAAGACAAGAGUUUCAUGAAGAGCCUCAUGAAGCUAUAUAAGUCUGUGAUGGAGAACUGAUGCUAGCAGUGUCAGGAAUAUCACAAAGGGUACCAGUCCAAUGGGGCACAGGGUUACUAUAGUUCUGACAUGAUCCUGCACUUCUCAAGUGUGGAAUUAUGCUUCUAACAAAGCCAAGGACUACAGGAAGAUAUCUGAUGAACUUUAACGUUCCUUUGGGCCUUUUUUAUGAUCAUUUUGAAGAUGCUUCAUUACUGCUACAUAACAUUAAGUAUCAUUAUUGAUUGGUCUGUGCUAUUACCUUACUUGCUAUUAAAUAUUGUAAAUAUCACCCCUGCCACCAUGAGAUCAGCUUUCAGUUCAGAUACCAUUUGGAAAUGGCUCUUCCCAUGAAGAGUUUAUAAUGAUCCUCCGUUCCUCCCAACAUGAUGGAGAGAAAGGCACAAGUGCCCAGUUCAGUGAGAAGUGUUGCUCAGUUGAAAAACAGGCAGGUGUCAUUUCCAGGGCAAUAAAUAUAUAGGUAGCAGUGGUUUUACAAGAUGAAAAUUCCUAUAGACAUCUAUUGCUAAAUGUUGUUCUUGUAUAUGUUUUGGGGAACUGUAUAAGCUGAGAUUGAGAAGUGAGGAUCCAGACACAGAGAAGGGAUCAAUUCCCAAAGAGAAAAGAACAGCAUGGAAAACAGAAACCAGAUGAAGAGGAAUUCAGGAACUAUGCUGAGGCAUGGAAUGUUCUUCUGGGCUACUAUUUCCUUCAAUCAAGUUAAUUUUCAUGCAUUCUUACAACCACGUGGACUCUGAUAUCUACCAGAACACCUGAGAAGACCCUGUCUCCUGGUUUUCUUGCUUUCACCAGCCUUACAAGUAUUUACAGCAUAAAAUAUCUAUGAGGAAGAUCAGCCUUGAGCUAACUACUGCCAGUCCUCCUCUUUUUGCUGAGGAAGACUGGCCCUGAGCUAACAUCUGUGCCCAUCUUCGUCUGCUUUAUAUGUGGGAAGCCUACCACAGCAUGGCUUUUGCCAAGCGGUGCCAUGUCUGCACCCGGGAUCUGAACCUGCGAACCCCAGGCUGCCAAGAAGCAGAACAUGCAAACUUAACUGCUGUGCCAUGGGGCCGGCCCCGAUGUGCUCCAUUUUUAAGUUGUAAAAUACAAAUAUUAUACAUACUGGGAAUAUAAUAGCUUAAUGGAUUUUCUUAGGAAUAUAGUUUCAUGAAGUGCAUGAAUGGUGUGUAUUGAAUCAGCCUGUCUAGAUAUGGAGACCAGGAAAGCUGAAUCAGCUUCAUUCUAAACCAUCAACAUCUGUGACCUUGGAACAAAUCAAUAGAGUCUAUUCAGCUUGUCUUUGGGAAAUGGAGUUAAUUCAACUUCUAAUUCAAGUCAAUUAAUAUCUAUGGGUCCAUCACGUUGUUCCUGGCUCCAAGGAUACAACAUAUGGUUAGUGUUCUCGUCCUCCAGCAGCCCUCCAUCUAGCUGGGAGACAGAUUUGUACACAUUGAACCAAAGCACAAGUUCAGGCUGUGGCCAUCGCACAAACAAAGCAUUACAGGGAAACAGAUAAUGACUGAAGGUUGAAGGAAGCUGGGGGAGGGGAAAGCUUCACAGAGAAGGGGAAAUUUAAGUUAGACAUUUAAGUAAAAGUGCCUUGUUCCUUCAUUCUUACAAAAUGAAUUCUCAAGAAUCCUAUAAAAUCACAUAUCUUUUUUUCCUGACUGAUCAGAGACUUCCAAUUUCCUAAUAUGUGAACUAUUUUUAUUGCUAUAGAAUUGACGAAC
rnacentral:lncRNA from 1 species